rnacentral:rRNA from 1 species
GACGAACGCUGGCGGCGUGCUUAACACAUGCAAGUCGAGCGGAAAGGCCCUUCGGGGUACUCGAGCGGCGAACGGGUGAGUAACACGUGAGUAACCUGCCCCAGACUUUGGGAUAACCCUCGGAAACGGGGGCUAAUACCGGAUACGACACAGCUUCGCAUGGGGUCUGUGUGGAAAGUUUUUCGGUUUGGGAUGGGCUCGCGGCCUAUCAGCUUGUUGGUGGGGUGAUGGCCUACCAAGGCGACGACGGGUAGCCGGCCUGAGAGGGCGACCGGCCACACUGGGACUGAGACACGGCCCAGUCUCCUACGGGAGGCAGCAGUGGGGAAUAUUGCACAAUGGGCGGAAGCCUGAUGCAGCGACGCCGCGUGAGGGAUGACGGCCUUCGGGUUGUAAACCUCUUUCAGCAGGGACGAAGCGUAAGUGACGGUACCUGCAGAAGAAGCGCCGGCCAACUACGUG